rnacentral:rRNA from 1 species
UACGGGGGGGGGCAAGCGUUGUUCGGAAUUACUGGGCGUAAAGGGCUUGUAGGUGGCCAACUAAGUCAGACGUGAAAUCCCUCGGCUUAACCGGGGAACUGCGUCUGAUACUGGAUGGCUUGAGUGUGGGAGAGGGAUGCGGAAUUCCAGGUGUAGCGGUGAAAUGCGUAGAUAUCUGGAGGAACACCGGUGGCGAAGGCGGCAUCCUGGACCAACACUGACACUGAGGAGCGAAAGCCAGGGGAGCAAACGGG